CACUCCUACGGGAGGCAGCAGUGGGGAAUAUUGGACAAUGGGCGCAAGCCUGAUCCAGCCAUGCCGCGUGAGUGAUGAAGGCCCUCGGGUUGUAAAGCUCUUUCACCGGUGAAGAUAAUGACGGUAACCGGAGAAGAAGCCCCGGCUAACUUCGUGCCAGCAGCCGCGGUAAUACGAAGGGGGCUAGCGUUGUUCGGAUUUACUGGGCGUAAAGCGCACGUAGGCGGACUAUUAAGUCAGGGGUGAAAUCCCGGGGCUCAACCCCGGAACUGCCUUUGAUACUGGUAGUCUUGAGUUCGAGAGAGGUGAGUGGAAUUCCGGGUGUAGAGGUGAAAUUCGUAGAUAUUCGGAGGAACACCAGUGGCGAAGGCGGCUCACUGGCUCGAUACUGACGCUGAGGUGCGAAAGCGUGGGGAGCAAACAGGAUUAGAAACCCGAGUAGUCCCAU
rnacentral:rRNA from 1 species